UACGUAGGGGGCUAGCGUUGUCCGGAAUUACUGGGCGUAAAGCGUGCGCAGGCGGCUUUGCAAGACAGAUGUGAAAUCCCCGGGCUCAACCUGGGAAUGGCGAUGGUGACUGCAAGGCUAGAGUUUGGCAGAGGGGGGUAGAAUUCCACGUGUAGCAGUGAAAUGCGUAGAUAUGUGGAGGAACACCGAUGGCGAAGGCAGCCCCCUGGGUCAAAACUGACGCUCAUGCACGAAAGCGUGGGGAGCAAACAGG
rnacentral:rRNA from 1 species